GGGAGUGUAGCUCAGUGAUAGAGCACUUGCCUAUGGUGAAAGGGUCCUAGGUUUCAUUCCCUGCACCACCA
rnacentral:tRNA from 1 species